AGACCCGAAACCCGGUGAUCUAGCCAUGGGCAGGUUGAAGGUUGGGUAACACUAACUGGAGGACCGAACCGACUAAUGUUGAAAAAUUAGCGGAUGACCUGUGGCUGGGGGUGAAAGGCCAAUCAAACCGGGAGAUAGCUGGUUCUCCCCGAAAGCUAUUUAGGUAGCGCCUCGUGAAUUCAUCUCCGGGGGUAGAGCACUGUUUCGGCUAGGGGGCCAUCCCGGCUUACCAACCCGAUGCAAACUGCGAAUACCGGAGAAUGUUAUCACGGGAGACACACGGCGGGUGCUAACGUCCGUCGUGAAGAGGGAAACAACCCAGACCGCCAGCUAAGGUCCCAAAGUCAUGGUUAAGUGGGAAACGAUGUGGGAAGGCCCAGACAGCCAGGAUGUUGGCUUAGAAGCAGCCAUCAUUUAAAGAAAGCGUAAUAGCUCACUGGUCGAGUCGGCCUGCGCGGAAGAUGUAACGGGGCUAAACCAUGCACCGAAGCUGCGGCAGCGAACGUAUCACCCAAGACAACUUUACGGAGUUGACGAUUGACGGAGCGAAGCGACGUCAAAGCGUUCAUUAAAGUCGAGUUGGCUUAGGGAUACGUUCGUUGGGUAGGGGAGCGUUCUGUAAGCCUGUGAAGGUGUGUCGUGAGGCAUGCUGGAGGUAUCAGAAGUGCGAAUGCUGACAUAAGUAACGAUAAAGCGGGUGAAAAGCCCGCUCGCCGGAAGACCAAGGGUUCCUGUCCAACGUUAAUCGGGGCAGGGUGAGUCGACCCCUAAGGCGAGGCCGAAAGGCGUAGUCGAUGGGAAACGGGUUAAUAUUCCCGUACUUGGUGUUACUGCGAAGGGG
rnacentral:rRNA from 1 species